rnacentral:lncRNA from 1 species
AAGAAGCCUAUUCCUACUCUUUUUUGUUGAUACUUACUACUAUAUCCAUGCGAGGACUCAGAAGAAGAAGGGAAUCAUUGUAUGUUGUGCUCCCUUGUUGUAUAUAUGGUUUAUUUUUCAUCUACCCAGUAAAAGUCCUUUCAUUGAGAAUAAAGACAAUCUGAAGUGAUCUCAAAGGAUCAUGUCCUUGAAUGCUGAAGAUAUUUCCUGAUACUCUAGGAGUUAUGACAAUGUCAAACUCAUCCUCA